GACCUCGAAUCAGGUAGGACUACCCGCUGAACUUAA
rnacentral:rRNA from 2 species